AGCAGCCGCGGUAAUUCCAGCUCCAAUAGCGUAUAUUAAAGUUGUUGCAGUUAAAAAGCUCGUAGUUGAACUUCGGGGUCUACCCAUUGGUCAGGCUUAAUUGUCUGCACUGGUGAGAUGGAUCUCUACCUUCUGAGGAACUUUCAUGCCAUUUAUUUGGUGUGAUGGGAAAUCAGGACUGUUACUUUGAAAAAAUUAGAGUGUUUAAAGCAGACUAUCGUCUGAAUACAUUAGCAUGGAAUAAUGAAAUAGGACGGACUGAUUCUAUUUCGUUGGUUUCUAGGAUCACCGUAAUGAUUAAUAGGGAUAGUUGGGGGCACUAGUAUUCAAUUGUCAGAGGUGAAAUUCUGGAUUUAUUGAAGACUAACUACUGCGAAAGCAUUUGCCAAGGAGUUUUGCAAUUAAUCAAGAACGAAAGUUAGGGGAUCGAAGACGAUCAGAUACCGUCGUAGUCUUAACCAUAAACUAUGCCGACUAGGGAUCGGACGAAGUUAAUUUUA
rnacentral:misc_RNA from 1 species